GGACUUGAAUGUCACUGGAAAAGGAAGAACUCAAACCAGCCACCAACAGGACCAGAGUGCCAGGUUUCCUGGAAACAUCACCCAAACCCAAAAAUUUCUCAGAAUUUUCAGAGGCGCCAAAGGACUGUUUGCAUUUCAAUGGGUAUGUUCUGAAAGGCCUGGAAAGUUCUUAGCUUUGCUUUCUCACUGGAAGGCAAGACCCACUGCCAUGAAGAAGAGACAGCACCCUUGGAGUAGCUUCAUGAAAAGCCAAGAAAAGGGACCUCUGGGACAUUUUAAUUGUUUAAUUCUUGGCUACAGAGACAAGACGAAGGGGAUCAGGCCAUGACAGAAUGUUACUGAGAAUGGAUCCAAGACUAUGAGAUCAGUGCCGGUGAGAUAGCUCAUUGGGUAACUGUGCUUGGUGCUCAAACCUGACAGUCUGAAACCCGC
rnacentral:lncRNA from 1 species